AUUGAACGCUGGCGGCAGGCCUAACACAUGCAAGUCGAACGAGUGGCGGACGGGUGAGUAAUGUCUGGGAAACUGCCCGAUGGAGGGGGAUAACUACUGGAAACGGUGGCUAAUACCGCAUACCAUCGGAUGAGCCCAGAUGGGAUUAGCGAGUAGGUGGGGUAAAGGCUCACCUAGGCGACGAUCCCUAGCUGGUCUGAGAGGAUGACACGCCAAACUGGAACUGAGACACCGGCCAGACCCCUACGGGAGGCAGCAGGGGGGAAUAUUGGACAAUGGGCGGAAGCCCUAUGCAGGCAUGCCGCGUGUAUGAAGAAGGCCCUCGGGUUGUAAAGUACGUUUAGCGGGGAGGCGUUACCCGCAGAAGAAGCACCGGCUAACUCCGUGCCAGCAGCCGCGGUAAUUC
rnacentral:rRNA from 1 species